rnacentral:rRNA from 1 species
CCCUUAGAUGUUCUGGGCCGCACGCGCGCUACACUGACGAUGGCAACGAGUUUUUCCUUCGCCGAAAGGUGUGGGUAAUCUUUUGAAACAUCGUCGUGCUGGGGAUAGAUCAUUGCAAUUUUUGAUCUUGAACGAGGAAGUCCUAGUAAGCGCGAGUCAUCAGCUCGCGUUGAUUACGUCCCUGCCCUUUGUACACACCGCCCGUCGCUACUACCGAUUGAAUGGUUUAGUGAGGACUCCUGAUUGGCGCCGCCGCCCCGGCAACGGAGCAGCGGACUGCCGAAAAGUUGUUCAAACUUGAUCAUUUAGAGGAAGUAAAAGUCGUAACA